rnacentral:lncRNA from 1 species
GCUUUAAUGGCUAGGUCGGCUUGGUACCCUGCUUUCGGCUGGGAGGGAUCCGUAAGGCCAUGUGGCUCCACUGCCAAUGUGUAGAUGUGGAAACUGAAGCCCAGAGAGGGUAUGGAACUUGUCCAAGGUCACACAGCUGGUUAAUGGCUUGGUAAGGAAUGGGUUCAGGAGCCCAGAGAGGGUCUGGAACUUGUCCAAGGUCACACAGCUGGUUAGUGGCUUGAUAAGCUCAAGCUCUCCUGACGGCCCUUGUCCCUACAAGCAGCUUCCUCUCCAAGGAGUCCCCUAAGCCUGCUUAUAUGGGGCUUGAGACCUGUGCUGUGAUAAAUCUGACUUGCUUAGGGGUGAGCUAAGGGAUUCCUCCUCUUAGACCCCCCAUCCAUAGCUACCAGGUACUUGACAGGAUGGAAAUGUUUCACCCUCCAAAAGUACCCUGUAAAGGCCCAACCUCGAACCAGAAAGAAUGUGUGUACAGGAAUAAAGGAUUGUGGUUCUUA